rnacentral:misc_RNA from 1 species
AUGCUAAAAAAGAGAUUGAGCAUGCCCCAGUGGUUAGUGAUGAUCCUUAUCUGUAUGCCCCUAUUUUUCGGAAUAUUUCAGUUUUCAAAAGGAGCUAUGAGUUAAUGGAGCUGAUACUUAAAGUUUACAUCUAUCCUGAUGGGAAAAGGCCCAUCUUUCAUCAACCGCAUCUCCAGGGAAUUUAUGCUUCUGAAGGAUGGUUUAUGAAGUUCAUGGAGGAAAACAGACAGUUUCUCACAAGGGAUCCAGAAAAGGCUCAUUUAUUUUAUCUUCCAUACAGUGCACGCCAGCUGGGGAUGGCACUUUAUGUGCCUAACUCACAUAAUUUGAGACCAUUGUCAAUCUUCAUGAGAGAUUAUGCAAAUAUGCUUGCUGCAAAGUAUCCCUUUUGGAACCGCACACAUGGGAGAGAUCAUUUUCUUGUUGCCUGCCAUGACUGGGGUCCAUACACAUUGACUAUGCACACUGAACUAACAAAAAAUACCAUAAAAGCUCUAUGCAAUGCUGAUGCAUCCGAAGGUAUUUUUGAUACUAGCAAGGAUGUUUCUCUACCUGAAACGACAAUAAAGACUCCUAGGAGACCUCUUAGAAAUGUUGGUGGUGGGAUAAGAGUAUCAGAGCGUCCAAUCCUUGCCUUCUUUGCUGGAAAUAUGCAUGGUAGGGUCCGCCC